rnacentral:rRNA from 1 species
GAUGAACGCUAGCUACAGGCUUAACACAUGCAAGUCGAGGGGCAGCAUGGUCUUAGCUUGCUAAGGCCGAUGGCGACCGGCGCACGGGUGAGUAACACGUAUCCAACCUGCCGUCUACUCUUGGACAGCCUUCUGAAAGGAAGAUUAAUACAAGAUGGCAUCAUGAGUCCACAUGUUCACAUGAUUAAAGGUAUUCCGGUAGACGAUGGGGAUGCGUUCCAUUAGAUAGUAGGCGGGGUAACGGCCCACCUAGUCUUCGAUGGAUAGGGGUUCUGAGAGGAAGGUCCCCCACAUUGGAACUGAGACACGGUCCAAACUCCUACGGGAGGCAGCAGUGAGGAAUAUUGGUCAAUGGGCGCAGGCCUGAACCAGCCAAGUAGCGUGAAGGAUGACUGCCCUAUGGGUUGUAAACUUCUUUUAUAAAGGAAUAAAGUCGGGUAUGCAUACCCGUUUGCAUGUACUUUAUGAAUAAGGAUCGGCUAACUCCGUGCCAGCAGCCGCGGUAAUACGGAGGAUCCGAGCGUUAUCCGGAUUUAUUGGGUUUAAAGGGAGCGUAGAUGGAUGUUUAAGUCAGUUGUGAAAGUUUGCGGCUCAACCGUAAAAUUGCAGUUGAUACUGGAUAUCUUGAGUGCAGUUGAGGCAGGCGGAAUUCGUGGUGUAGCGGUGAAAUGCUUAGAUAUCACGAAGAACUCCGAUUGCGAAGGCAGCCUGCUAAGCUGCAACUGACAUUGAGGCUCGAAAGUGUGGGUAUCAAACAGGAUUAGAUACCCUGGUAGUCCACACGGUAAACGAUGAAUACUCGCUGUUUGCGAUAUACAGCAAGCGGCCAAGCGAAAGCGUUAAGUAUUCCACCUGGGGAGUACGCCGGCAACGGUGAAACUCAAAGGAAUUGACGGGGGCCCGCACAAGCGGAGGAACAUGUGGUUUAAUUCGAUGAUACGCGAGGAACCUUACCCGGGCUUAAAUUGCAGAUGAAUUACGGUGAAAGCCGUAAGCCGCAAGGCAUCUGUGAAGGUGCUGCAUGGUUGUCGUCAGCUCGUGCCGUGAGGUGUCGGCUUAAGUGCCAUAACGAGCGCAACCCUUGUUGUCAGUUACUAACAGGUUCCGCUGAGGACUCUGACAAGACUGCCAUCGUAAGAUGUGAGGAAGGUGGGGAUGACGUCAAAUCAGCACGGCCCUUACGUCCGGGGCUACACACGUGUUACAAUGGGGGGUACAGAGGGCCGCUACCACGCGAGUGGAUGCCAAUCCCCAAAACCUCUCUCAGUUCGGACUGGAGUCUGCAACCCGACUCCACGAAGCUGGAUUCGCUAGUAAUCGCGCAUUCAGCCACGGCGCGGUGAAUACGUUCCCGGGCCU